rnacentral:lncRNA from 1 species
GAAAAUAAUUGACAAAUACAUCGAAGCCGAUGCCGUACAAGAAGCUUUUACAGACAAUAUAGAAUUUAAACAUGUAGUACUAGACAAUUAAAUGAUAUAUAAUUGAAAAUCUAUAAAGUUCUAUCCUAUUUUGGUAGUAUUCCUAGUAGUUUUGUGUAGAUACAUUUAAUGUAAUCCAGCUAUAACCUUUCUACUAUACAAAUAAAGG